AAAAAAGUUGAUCAAGAACAGAUCUAGAAGACUAAACUGAUGUGGAGAAAGGUUUAUAUUUGUGGAUUCAAUUACAAAACACAGAGAGAGCUGUGACUGAAGCAAGAUAGAAUUUUUUUUGGGCGCAAAAAGAACUGUAGAGGGGUCAACUCGCAUCUUGUUCAAGCAAACUGGCAAGAAAAUGAGGAGAACCAUGGGAAUGUUUGACUGUGGCCAUGUGUUAUUAUUGCAUUUUCUCUCUCAACUGCUGUUGCUGCUUCUAAUCAAACCAUCAGACGCCACAGAAUUGGCUUCAAACCAAAGGAGAACUGGUGAAGUUGCAGGCUUGCUAGCCUUCAAGAGAUCCUCUGUUGAAUCUGAUCCAAAUGACUUUUUAGCCAACUGGACAGUCAAUUCCUCUAGUCCAUGCUCAUGGGUUGGCGUUUCUUGCUCUCUUGACGGCCAUGUAACCGCCCUCAACCUAAAUAACGCCGGUCUUAUUGGCAGCCUACGUCUCCCUGACCUCACUGCUGCCUUGCCAUUUCUCAGGCAUCUUAGUCUCCAAGGCAAUUCAUUCUCAGCUAGUAAUCUCUCUGCCUCCACUGCUACUCCCUGCGCUCUUCAGUUUCUUGAUCUCUCCUCCAACAACAUCUCUGAUCCUCUCCCAUCAAACUCCUUCAUUUUGUUGUGUGAUCGUCUGGCUUAUGUUAAUCUCUCUUACAAUUCUAUUCCUGGUGGCACUCUCCAAUUUGGUCCUUCUUUGCUGCAGCUUGAUCUCUCUCGCAAUCGUAUCUCUGAUUCGAGCUUAUUGAACUAUUCUCUCUAUAGCUGCCAGAACUUGAAUCUUCUUAAUUUCUCAGAUAACAUACUCACAGGUCAACUUAAAGCUACUCCCAUUUCUUGCAGGAGUCUAUCAGUUUUAGAUCUCUCAUAUAAUCUGCUAUCGGGGGAGAUACCACCUACCUUUGUUGCAGAUUCUCCAUCGUCUCUCAAGCAUCUAGAUCUCUCUCACAACAACUUUUCUAGCAACUUCUCCCGGCUGGACUUUGGGAAUUGCAGCAACCUUUCUUUGCUCAGUUUGUCACAAAACAGACUUUUUGGAACUGGGUUUCCAAAUAGCAUGAGCAAAUGCGAGGUCUUGGAGACACUUGACCUCUCCCAUAAUGAGCUGCGAUUAUCAAUUCCUGGUGCCUUGCUGGGAACGUUGAAGAAUUUGAGGCAGCUAUCUCUCGCUGAAAAUCAAUUCUUUGGAGAUAUUUCUCCUGAGUUAGCACAGACCUGU
rnacentral:misc_RNA from 1 species